UGACUGAGGAGCUUCAAUAAGGCUCUGAAAGAGACUUGCCCUGUGAGUUUGGUGUACUCAAGAACCAAGCAUCAUUUUCCCUUAUGAACAUGCUUCUUGACAUCUGCUCAGUUCUGCUACUUCUUUUAAUGUUCAGGAGGAGCAAUGGAGACUCAGUGACUCAGACAGAAGGCCAGGUUACUGUCACAGAGGGGUUGCCUGUGAAGCUGAACUGCAACUAUGAGACUGCUUACACAAGUCCUUUCCUUUUCUGGUAUGUGCAACAUCCCAGGAAAGGCCCCCAGUUACUUCUGAAUACCUUCACAGACAAAAAGAGAAUAGAACAUCAAGGUUUCUAUGCCAACCUCAACAAGAGCAGCAACUCCUUCCACCUGCAGAAGCCCUCAGUGCAACUGUCUGACUCUGCCCUGUACUACUGUGCUCUGAGUGACACAGUGAGGGAGACUGCAGGGGAAGCUGCACAUAAAACAAGGGUAUUAGAGGGCUGA